AUGCAUUUGACAGACCUGGGGCAGUUACUCUCUGCUGCUAAGGUUUCCACUACAGAUGUAAGAAAAAACUAUCAAUGUCCUUGCACUUUCUGACUGUGGCAGCCAAGAUUCACAAGGAGAGAAAAAUA
rnacentral:snoRNA from 1 species